GAUGAACGCUAGCGGCAGGCCUAACACAUGCAAGUCGAACGGUAACAUAGAGAAGCUUGCUUUUCUGAUGACGAGUGGCGCACGGGUGCGUAACGCGUAUACAAUCCACCUUUUACAGAGAGAUAGCCCAGAGAAAUUUGGAUUAGUACCUCAUAGUAUUGUUUUAUGGCAUCAUAAAGUAAUUAAAGAUUUAUCGGUAAAAGAUGAGUAUGCGUUCUAUUAGUUAGUUGGAGUGGUAACGGCACCCCAAGACAGCGAUAGAUAGGGGCCCUGAGAGGGGGAUCCCCCACACUGGUACUGAGACACGGACCAG
rnacentral:rRNA from 1 species